UUAUAUGGAGAGUUUGAUCCUGGCUCAGGACGAACGCUGGCGGCGUGCCUAAUACAUGCAAGUCGAGCGGACGGAUGGGAGCUUGCUCCCAGACCGUCAGCGGCGGACGGGUGAGUAACACGUGGGCAACCUGCCUGUAAGACUGGGAUAACUCCGGGAAACCGGGGCUAAUACCGGAUAAUUCUUUUCCUCACAUGAGGAAAAGCUGAAAGAUGGCAUCUCGCUAUCACUUACAGAUGGGCCCGCGGCGCAUUAGCUAGUUGGU
rnacentral:rRNA from 1 species